GGAGAUGUAGCUCAGUGGUAGAGUACUUGCCUAGCAUGUACAAGGCCCUGAGUUCAAUCCCUAGUACCACCA
rnacentral:tRNA from 1 species